GGGCACCGACUGGGCUCCUAGCUCCAGGCUGCCGCCUCCUAGCUGUGUCACUUCGCCUGCCUGUGCCUCAGUUUCCUCAUUGGUGAAAUGGGAUCAUGAGAGUGCCUUCCGGUUGGUGUGAAGGUCCAGUGGGAUGAUAGGGGAGGGCUCAGGAGAGGGGCUGCAUGGUUGUGUCUGUGUGGCUGUGGCCUUGUGGUGGCCCAGCCCCGAGGAGGUGGCCUCCGGAACUGCUCCAAUCUUGAGCUCACCCCACCAGUUUCUUCACAUCUCACUUCACAAGGUUUGGAGGUUGCCCAGUCUCACAGCUGGUGGGGUGGUCAGGACUGAAACCUGGGCGACAGCUCUGCCAGACAGGGUGGCUGUAACUCAAGUCUGCAGGAAGUGGGGAGGCGCCUAGGGUAAGCGGGUGGUGGCAGGGGUGCACCGUCUGUCUUUGGAGUGAGCACGCACGGGGCAUCUGGACCUCCGGACAUCUGGUGAGGAGCAUUCCUGGCAAAGGGAACUUGGAACAGUGAGGUGUUGUGCUGGGGAGGGGGUGCACUGGGGGCAGGGGCAGGGUCUUCUGGCCAUGGGAGGGGCUGUGGAUUUGAUUCUAAGUGUGGUGCCAAGUCCUCGGAGGGGCUGAGAGGGGUGACACAGCUUCCUGUCUCCCCAGCAAUUCUGCGUGCUCAACAAGCACGCUCAGACACUGUGCCCUGGGGCCAGAACCGUGCAGGGGAGGAGACACAGGUAAGGAAGGCCCGGCCUGGGCCCACUCAAGAAGCUGCAGGACCACAGGGUGGCAGAACCCACAUCACUGUCCAGGGGGAGGUGCCAGGAUGCCCGUGGCAUCAAUGGAGGCCCCCAGGGCAGGAUGCCCACCUAUGAGCACUCGGGCCAGGCUGACUUCUAGAAGGAUCCUCCAGGGUGGAAAGGCAUUCAAGGCAGAGGGAACAGCACAUGCAGGCGCUCAGAGGUCAUUGGCCUCUGCCCUCUCUUGAGACCUCUGUGUCUUGGCUUCAUAACUGCUGUGUCUGGGUCAGCCUCCUCCAGCCUGGCGCCCCAGCACAAACCAGCUUCACAAGGAGGGGCUCAGUAAAGGAGCAGAGCACCGGAUCCUGAGAGUGCUAGGGCCCACUGUACAUGUGGCCCUGGACUAUAUGCUUCCUGCCCAUAGUCUCCUACUGCAAAGCAGAGCCCCUACUCCGCAACAAGAGAAGCCACCGCAAUGAGAAGUCUGAGC